rnacentral:tRNA from 1 species
GAGGGACUGGCAGAAGGGUAAUGCGUAGCUCUCCUAUGAUUGGACAAAGGUUUUCAUCCUUGUCGAAAGGAUGAAGUCCGGGACCAAGCUAAGCUAAGAUUGUGGGUUCGAGUCCCACGUUCCUCG